UUGACAGGUAACGGAUAUCUUUCAGAGUCUAGUCUCUGUCUGUCAGUGUCUGUUCAGUUCUUUGCUGUUGUUUUGGAUUGUGGUUUGUUACUGCAUCUGAGCAAUUUAAGCAAAUUAUCUGGUCAUUUUUACGUUGAGUCGAGGAACUGCUCCUCCGUACUCUAUCUGUUGAUAGUACUUUCGCGAAAGGACGCUUUAUUACUUGUGUUGUGUAUAACACCUGCUGACCAUGUUUGCCGCACGGAACAAAUAUUUGAAUGAUCUGCAAGUAGUUGUUCUUGGUCUGGGCACAUGAGUUUCUAUGUUGAUGAAAUAAUACUAAGAAUAGAUUAAAUAAUUAUAAGAACAAUAAAAUAGAUGUAUAUUCCUACAAAAACAAAGUUGUUUUAUUAUACCACACUCGAAACCCGAGAACUUGACCAUUAUCAAACUGUUGCAGUCCGCUGCUGGACAGGUAUCUCCUAAAUGCACUCUACUGAGUGGGUACGAUCCUUAUCUAUCUAUCUAUUUACCUAAUUGUACGUACCUACCUAAAACACACCCAAGAUUAAGAGACAAGCUAGGUAGAACAUUUAUUUUAUCAUUACCAUAACAAUGUUUAUGUACCUAGCUAAAACAACUUACAUGGGUACACUGUAGUACAUAACCUUAAAAAACAAAACUGGUUAUAACUUUUACUUCCCAAGUUCUAAAAAUCUAAGAAUUUACAAAGGGCUUGUCUAUCAUAUUACCCACCAAUUAUAAC